UUAAGCGACUAAGCGUACACGGUGGAUGCCCUGGCAGUCAGAGGCGAUGAAGGACGUGCUAAUCUGCGAUAAGCGUCGGUGAGGUGAUAUGAACCGUUAUAACCGGCGAUUUCCGAAUGGGGAAACCCAGUGUGUUUCGACACACUAUCAUUAACUGAAUCCAUAGGUUAAUGAGGCGAACCGGGGGAACUGAAACAUCUAAGUACCCCGAGGAAAAGAAAUCAACCGAGAUUCCCCCAGUAGCGGCGAGCGAACGGGGAGGAGCCCAGAGCCUGAAUCAGUGUGUGUGUUAGUGGAAGCGUCUGGAAAGGCGUGCGAUACAGGGUGACAGCCCCGUACACAAAAAUGCACAUAUUGUGAGCUCGAUGAGUAGGGCGGGACACGUGGUAUCCUGUCUGAAUAUGGGGGGACCAUCCUCCAAGGCUAAAUACUCCUGACUGACCGAUAGUGAACCAGUACCGUGAGGGAAAGGCGAAAAGAACCCCGGCGAGGGGAGUGAAAAAGAACCUGAAACCGUGUACGUACAAGCAGUGGGAGCCUCUUAAUGGGGUGACUGCGUACCUUUUGUAUAAUGGGUCAGCGACUUAUAUUCUGUAGCAAGGUUAACCGAAUAGGGGAGCCGAAGGGAAACCGAGUCUUAACUGGGCGUUAAGUUGCAGGGUAUAGACCCGAAACCCGGUGAUCUAGCCAUGGGCAGGUUGAAGGUUGGGUAACACUAACUGGAGGACCGAACCGACUAAUGUUGAAAAAUUAGCGGAUGACUUGUGGCUGGGGGUGAAAGGCCAAUCAAACCGGGAGAUAGCUGGUUCUCCCCGAAAGCUAUUUAGGUAGCGCCUCGUGAAUUCAUCUCCGGGGGUAGAGCACUGUUUCGGCAAGGGGGUCAUCCCGACUUACCAACCCGAUGCAAACUGCGAAUACCGGAGAAUGUUAUCACGGGAGACACACGGCGGGUGCUAACGUCCGUCGUGAAGAGGGAAACAACCCAGACCGCCAGCUAAGGUCCCAAAGUCAUGGUUAAGUGGGAAACGAUGUGGGAAGGCCCAGACAGCCAGGAUGUUGGCUUAGAAGCAGCCAUCAUUUAAAGAAAGCGUAAUAGCUCACUGGUCGAGUCGGCCUGCGCGGAAGAUGUAACGGGGCUAAACCAUGCACCGAAGCUGCGGCAGCGACACUAUGUGUUGUUGGGUAGGGGAGCGUUCUGUAAGCCUGUGAAGGUGGCCUGUGAGGGUUGCUGGAGGUAUCAGAAGUGCGAAUGCUGACAUAAGUAACGAUAAAGCGGGUGAAAAGCCCGCUCGCCGGAAGACCAAGGGUUCCUGUCCAACGUUAAUCGGGGCAGGGUGAGUCGACCCCUAAGGCGAGGCCGAAAGGCGUAGUCGAUGGGAAACAGGUUAAUAUUCCUGUACUUGGUGUUACUGCGAAGGGGGGACGGAGAAGGCUAUGUUGGCCGGGCGACGGUUGUCCCGGUUUAAGCGUGUAGGCUGGUUUUCCAGGCAAAUCCGGAAAACCAAGGCUGAGGCGUGAUGACGAGGCACUACGGUGCUGAAGCGACAAAUGCCCUGCUUCCAGGAAAAGCCUCUAAGCAUCAGGUAACAUCAAAUCGUACCCCAAACCGACACAGGUGGUCAGGUAGAGAAUACCAAGGCGCUUGAGAGAACUCGGGUGAAGGAACUAGGCAAAAUGGUGCCGUAACUUCGGGAGAAGGCACGCUGAUAUGUAGGUGAAGCGACUUGCUCGUGGAGCUGAAAUCAGUCGAAGAUACCAGCUGGCUGCAACUGUUUAUUAAAAACACAGCACUGUGCAAACACGAAAGUGGACGUAUACGGUGUGACGCCUGCCCGGUGCCGGAAGGUUAAUUGAUGGGGUUAGCGGCAACGCGAAGCUCUUGAUCGAAGCCCCGGUAAACGGCGGCCGUAACUAUAACGGUCCUAAGGUAGCGAAAUUCCUUGUCGGGUAAGUUCCGACCUGCACGAAUGGCGUAAUGAUGGCCAGGCUGUCUCCACCCGAGACUCAGUGAAAUUGAACUCGCUGUGAAGAUGCAGUGUACCCGCGGCAAGACGGAAAGACCCCGUGAACCUUUACUAUAGCUUGACACUGAACAUUGAGCCUUGAUGUGUAGGAUAGGUGGGAGGCUUUGAAGUGUGGACGCCAGUCUGCAUGGAGCCGACCUUGAAAUACCACCCUUUAAUGUUUGAUGUUCUAACGUUGGCCCGUAAUCCGGGUUGCGGACAGUGUCUGGUGGGUAGUUUGACUGGGGCGGUCUCCUCCUAAAGAGUAACGGAGGAGCACGAAGGUUGGCUAAUCCUGGUCGGACAUCAGGAGGUUAGUGCAAUGGCAUAAGCCAGCUUGACUGCGAGCGUGACGGCGCGAGCAGGUGCGAAAGCAGGUCAUAGUGAUCCGGUGGUUCUGAAUGGAAGGGCCAUCGCUCAACGGAUAAAAGGUACUCCGGGGAUAACAGGCUGAUACCGCCCAAGAGUUCAUAUCGACGGCGGUGUUUGGCACCUCGAUGUCGGCUCAUCACAUCCUGGGGCUGAAGUAGGUCCCAAGGGUAUGGCUGUUCGCCAUUUAAAGUGGUACGCGAGCUGGGUUUAGAACGUCGUGAGACAGUUCGGUCCCUAUCUGCCGUGGGCGCUGGAGAACUGAGGGGGGCUGCUCCUAGUACGAGAGGACCGGAGUGGACGCAUCACUGGUGUUCGGGUUGUCAUGCCAAUGGCACUGCCCGGUAGCUAAAUGCGGAAGAGAUAAGUGCUGAAAGCAUCUAAGCACGAAACUUGCCCCGAGAUGAGUUCUCCCUGACUCCUUGAGAGUCCUGAAGGAACGUUGAAGACGACGACGUUGAUAGGCCGGGUGUGUAAGCGCAGCGAUGCGUUGAGCUAACCGGUACUAAUGAACCGUGAGGCUUAACCUU
rnacentral:rRNA from 71 species